GCACAAGCCAACAGUGGUGGGCCACAAAUGAAUUGGCCAAUUGAAAUGCUAAUGUAGUAAGUCAGCUAAUGUGGUAAAUUUCAUAAUUGAAUUGCCUUGCUGAUCUGCCAGUGAAUCCUUUUCCAGGCCAGGAAACACUUGCAGCCCUGUGAGGAUGGCCAGGCAGAGGCAGAACUUGAGCAUCCACAGCUCCCAGAAACCACAUCCCAGCAGGACUUGUGAUGAGUCUGCUGCUCUCUGGCUGCCAUUGCAGGCUUUUCUCCUUGUCUGCAACCGUGCCCUGUGAACCCUCUGCUGGGACCAGUUCUAAAGGCAUCUGAAGCUGACAACUGCCGCCUGCCUUGCCAGGUGUCUCUGGGGCUUGUUAGGACAUGGGAGCAGAAACUGAAGGGACAGGAAGGGACUUUGAGGUUGGCAGGGCUCCCCCUCAAGUCCCUUCAGCACAGGGUGAGUGGAAGGAGCUCAGUCUCUGGUCGGCCUGGGUUCACAUGCUGCUUGUGUCACUGAGGCCUUCUGGAGGAUGGCGUGAGGUGAUACCCAGCAUUGUACGACACGUCCUGGAAUGGUGUCUGGCACGUGGUGGGCUGCUCAUACCCAGCUCCCUGUCCCCUUUGCUCUGUCCUCCUGACACAGAAUGGAGGUGUUACCUCUGUCUUGUUCUUAAACCUUCCUCGGCCCUGCUUGGUUCCCCCUUGGAUGAUAAAAGGUAGGCAAGCGUGUCCUGUUCUUCAAAGUGACAGCUCCCUGGGCUGAGAUGUGCUCAUUGAUGAGUACUC
rnacentral:lncRNA from 1 species